rnacentral:lncRNA from 1 species
CCUCCCCCCCCCCCCCUCGCGGUGGCUCAUAAAAUCUCCGAGGCAGAGGCAGGGCAGCUUUCUCAGCCCCCGAGCUCGCAAAGGUGACCCAGGGACAGACAAACUGUGCUGAAGUCAGAAAUCAACUGGCAUAUUCAGUCUGGAGGAAUCUCCCAGGGUACCAGUCGAAUGCAUUAAGAGUGUAUUUCUCCAGCAAGAAGUGAUGGGAAGAGCACAGAGCAAAAAGAAGAAAGAAGCAGGGAAGAAGAUGAAGAAAUAAUCUCUCGAAGGACGCAGUAAUACUACCAUCUAACUAAAAAGAAUUCAGACAUGCACACAAUCCUCAGGAAAAUUCAUCUCCACCCUCCCAACGGACUCUGACUACCACUGAUCCAAGGACCACUGGUGUGGAACCACUGUUUUGUCCGCUGCUGACAAAAGUAUGUUUAAGAGUCUUGGUUUGGCAACAGGAAGGAUACCAUCCUUUGUCCGAUUCCACUGGCUGAGAGAAGUAUGCCCCAAUCAGAUAAUGGCAGUCAAAAGGAAUAAAGCAAGAUCCUUUCCUUGGGUGUGAGCCAGCAUUGUUCUUUCAUGCAUUAUUCAUGAAAUAUGCAAGUGGUCCCAAGACAAGAGGCAGAGGGGAAAAAAUGAAGCACAGGAGGUCCUGUCUGAAAGCAUCAGGAAGUAUUUCUGUGCUGAGGGUGACCAAGCCCUAGAGCAUGUUGCUCAGAGAAGCUGCAGAGCCCUCCUGCAUUCUUGAGGAUACUCAAAAGUCACUGCAAGAUGAAGACAGCCACUGACCUCCAAAUCAAUCGGUUUUGUAGUUUACAAACAUAUUUUACAGUACUUGUAGCCAGAUUCUUUGUGGGUUGUCAUCUUUUGUUUCCAACUAAUACCGAACAACUCCUAGGUUCUCUUUCCUAAAUGUAUGUUGAUCUGCUGCAACUUCUUUUGCCAGUCUCUGCCUUAUUUGGUACCUUGUAAAAGGAAAUAGCAAUUCUCACAUCUUAGGAGGAUGGCUAAGAGUUCUCUGUCUGUCUAGAAGACUGCAUGUUCCUCAUGGUUUUUGUCCUACCAGGGAGCCACAUGUUGCAAAAGAGAAUGAUAGCAUGGGAUUGAGGAGGUAACUUGCUGAACCACUCCCAAGGAAACUGAUGGUACAAUAAAAGCAAAUUGAACCUAAUUCUUAGAUGCAAAUCUGAUGCUCUUGAUACCUUGCCAUUUGCCUCAAAGCUAUUUUUUUCUCCUUUAAGUUUGGAAGCGGAAGGGUCCAAAUCCCAAGAUACUAUUAUUAUCAUCUCAGAUAAUCUGCGAAGUAGGAGCACAGCAAUUAUUUUCCCAGGAAAUUUACUGCUAAGGGAAUUUAACAAUUGUACAAAUUGCUGCCUAAUGGUGAUGCAUAAAAAAAGGAUCAUGUUUCAUAAGAUGAACAACAUACUCUCCCUUUCUUCCACCCUUCUACUGAUAUACUGAAGUUACAAAAAAUCGGAGGGCAGUAGUGCAACCACUAAUGCUGAAAUUGCCAGGCUGGUGUCUAAUGUAAAUUGAACUUUGAUGAUUUAGUGUUACCCAACAUACCUCUCCUCAUUGUUCAUUUUAUGCAGACUGAUAAAAAUCCUUCCAGGUAGCAAUGGCCUCAUGCCCUGUAUAAGCACAGAAAAUAAUGUCAUCGCAAGCCUUAAUGAUGAAGGUAGUUAUAGGACAAAGGCCCCUGCAGCAAGUUGGGUAUUGGGUCAUUGUUCCAGCUAAUGUCAUGAUGCCAUUUCUCACUAUUUUUAGAACUGUUUUCUUUGUACAGCAAAUUUAUCAUGUAGUUACUUAAAAAUACAGAAGAUCUUGUCUUCUCUGGACUUAGUAGCAAAAGAUUGUCUUCCUCUGACUUCUGCAAAUUAGACAAUCCCCUAAAAGCUGCAGAGAUUGAUUAAAACUUAAACUUAAAACCUAAAUUUAAGCUUAGAAAAAAUGAGUAUCUCAACCCAAUCUGCUGUUAGCACUUGGUGUAAUGACAGACUAAGCACAAAGACCUUACAGAAAAAUUUGCAGGAAUCCAAGUUAGCCACUCACAGUUCCAGAAGUAAUUCAGGGAUUCAGUAAAUCAGCACAAACCUAGUUCCUACAUUGCAUAUAUGUUAGCACAGAUCCAAAUUUCUCUACAUUUUGGGGAAAGAAAUGUGAAACAGUGGAUGAGGAACAUUCCAUCCUUUCAUGUUAAAACUUUGUUCCAUGUCAUAUAGCCAAGCCCUUUUAUUAUUAUCUACUUUGUAUAUUAUGGUUGCCGCAGAUACCUUAUCAAAAAUUGAAACUCUGAUUUUGGUUGUCCUAUAAGCACAGAAGAUGCAACCUGUAAACUCAGAAUUUAAGGAUUUAGGAAGCAAGACAGACAGAGACCAGUUCUCAUUCCCAUGUUACAGGCAGGGAAAUAGGACAUAGGAAGAUUAAAUGACUAGCUCACGGUCAGAAAACGAGUUUCUAGCAAAGGUAGGGUCUCAGCAAUAUUUUCCAAAAUCUCCGCCCAACACUUUAGGGAUCCAUUCAUGUGCCUUUUUUUUUUUUUUUUUUUUUUUUUUUUAAGUACCGUGUCAUUAUUUCUGUGAAAAAAAUUAUGUAACUCCUUCAGCAGCCAGUACUAUACACUUCAGCUUGUCUGAAAGGGAAUAUGAAAUGGCAGUUAAAAAAAAAAAAAAAAAUAACCUUCCUGCCACACAGUCUGGCAGCCCUGUCAAAAUGUAUCUUCUUUUCCUCUGAUGGGUAUUUAAGUUCCCUCUAUAUCCUUAGAACACUGGCUGGGGCUUUAUCUACAUUACCCUACAAAGCCAAAAUCAUGGAGUCUCCCUAUGGAGGACAUACUCUGUAGAUGAGGAAUGUAAUACCUUCCAGUACUUCACUUCAAUGCCAGGUGUUCAGGCCCACGUGGCAUUAGGAGCCUGUGAAGGUUUCCUGGCAGAUUCUGUGACAAGAAGGAAUAGUGACUGUUCCUCAAGAGGAUGCAGUAACCACCCCAUGCGACAGACCUGCUCACCCAGAUGCACAACUGGAUCACAGUGUUAAAUGGGAUGUUACAUGCUGGCAGAUCUCUUCUAUUCCUCAGUGUUGUAUCAGUGGGAGCUGCACUUCUGAUACCAGUCUAAUUCAGGAGACAGUAUCCAUCUCUGGGUGAUGUUUCAAACCAGGGACACUGGUUUGAGAUUAAUUGUUUUGGUGGUGACUUCUGUGAAAGAAGUCAAACGAAACAGGAGAACCAGUGUGACAAGGGAAAUUGAUCAGAAUGCCUCUGGUUUCUGCCAGAGGCAUUCUCUCCCCCAGCCCAAAUCCUGCCCCAGUACAGCACAUCAGCACAAGACAAGUUGGUGUAACACAGCCAGCAACAUGUUCUGUGACCUCUCAGACCAGAUAAUCCACUCACAGCUGGGUCAAGGGUGCACAUGGCUCAUCUAUUUCAUACCCAUGCUUCCGAUCUUUACUAAGCAUUUUCUUUAUUCAUGGAAAAAAAAAACCCAAA